GUUGUUAGAGAUACAGCAGCCGCUUGCGGUCUGUAUACAGGUGCUGCAUGGCUGUCGUCAGCUCGUGCUGUGAAGUGUUGGUUAAGUCCCGCAACGAGCGCAACCCCUAUCAUCUGUUGCCAGCAUUUUAAGGUUGGGGACGUCAGAUGGGACUGCCGGUGACAAACCGGAGGAAGGUGGGACGACGUCAAGUCAUCAUGGCCCUUAUGUCCUGGGCUACACACGUGCUACAAUGGCCGGUACAGAGUGAAGCGAAACCGCGAGGUGAAGCAAAACGCAGAAAGCCGGUCUCAGUACGGAUUGGAGUCUGAAACUCGACUUCAUGAAGCUGGAAUCGCUAGUAAUCGCAGAUCAGCCAAGCUGCGGUGAAUACGUUCCCGGGCCUU
rnacentral:rRNA from 1 species